CGCGUAGGCGGUUUAUCAAGUCGCAUGUGAAAUACCAGGGCUCAACCCUGGGAGGUCAUGCGAAACUGAUGGACUUGAGUGCAGUAGAGGAAAGCGGAAUUCCUGGUGUAGCGGUAAAAAUGCGUAGAGAUCAGGAGGAACACCGGUGGCGAAGGCGGCUUUCUGGGCUGUAACUGACGCUGAGGCGCGAAAGCGUGGGGAGCAAACAGGAUUAGAUACCCUGGUAGUCCACGCUGUAAACGAUGAAUACUAGGUGUAGGGGACGCAGGUCUUCUGUGCCGGAGCUAACGCAAUAAGUAUUCCGCCUGGGGAGUACGGCCGCAAGGUUGAA
rnacentral:rRNA from 1 species